rnacentral:rRNA from 1 species
UGACCUCGGAUCAGGUAGGAAUAUUUGCUGAACUUAAGCAUAUCAAUAAGCGGA